rnacentral:lncRNA from 1 species
GGUCUUUCUCUUCCUGCCGCGCUCCCUCAGAACUGGCUGAAGAACACUAGCUACUUCUCCAGCUGCGUGCCGCCAUGUUCCCUGUCAUGGGGAUAAAGGGACUAAAUCCCUCUGAAACGGUUCAUCUAUGAAGCAGCUGGCUCCAGAACCUUCUGCCUGCCUAAGGCCGAAUAAUGCUCUGCUUCUGAUUCCUCAGGCGCCACAUCCAGAAGCAGGAGAAGAACCUUAGGAGCAGUGUCCACUCUGCUCACAGACCCUGUUCAUCAUGGCUCCAAUGACUCUCGAUUUCCAUCUCUGCUGUGUUUCUUAGCCAGCACGGGGCCUGCAACUACAUCUCCUAUCUGGAUGCUGUAGCAGGAGGAAGAAUGGACCCUUGCAAGGACACAGCUACCGCCCAGGGGUGCCUGGCGAGACAGAUUCUGCAAAUGUUUGUCAGCUCAGAGCCAGGUCUAGAAUGUGGCCUCUCUGGAGCUCGCUUGUUGGCUCCCCCAGAUGCAUCAUGGAAGGAGUUCCGCAUGCUCUGAGACAGUUUCUUCCCAGGAGGGGAUCAGCUUACUGGAGCAGCGCUGUUUUCUGUGGACCCUUGUCUAGUUGUGGCGGUUGCUGGGAAAGAUGAAGUCCCCAGACUGGAGCUCAGGCUGCAAAGAGGCUGGCAUGAAGCGAGAUGCCCCUUCUAGGCCAAGGCAAGAUCUGCUGCCCUCUGACUUCUACCUGUUGCUGAGAUGACUUCUGUCGCCAAGGCACCUGGAUACCGAGCCACUCCUUGACAAAAGCCCUCUCCAGCCUGCGUGGACCUCGCGUGAGAGAAGUCUAGGUGGCUGUGGGCAGCCCACAGGCUUCCGUUGCCGCUGCGUUACAGCUUGUCGUCUUAAUCUUGAAAUGAGACCUGGUUCACUUGAUCUCAUUAAUAAAAGGUCUGUGCUCCCCCUAGUCAUAAAAACACGCCACCCUCCUGUUCACUGUCCUC